UACGUAGGGGGCAAGCGUUGUCCGGAUUUAUUGGGCGUAAAGAGCGUGUAGGCGGCCUGCCAGGUCUGCUGUGAAAACUCGAGGCUCAACCUCGAGAUGUCGGCGGAAACCGUCUGGCUAGAGUCCGGAAGAGGAGAGUGGAAUUCCUGGUGUAGCGGUGAAAUGCGCAGAUAUCAGGAAGAACACCUAUGGCGAAGGCAGCUCUCUGGGACGGUACUGACGCUGAGACGCGAAAGCGUGGGGAGCGAACAGG
rnacentral:rRNA from 1 species